rnacentral:rRNA from 1 species
UACAGAGGGUGCAAGCGUUGUUCGGAAUUAUUGGGCGUAAAGCGCGUGUAGGCGGCUUUGCAAGUCGGGUGUGAAAUCCCUCAGCUCAACUGAGGAAGUGCGCCCGAAACUGCAGAGCUUGAGUGCCGGAGAGGAUGGCGGAAUUCCCAAGUAGAGGUGAAAUUCGUAGAUAUGGGGAGGAACACCGGUGGCGAAGGCGGCCAUCUGGACGGCAACUGACGCUGAGACGCGAAAGCGUGGGUAGCAAACAGGA